UCGGCCGACUGGCGGUUACCUCUAAACAUUUUAGAGAACAAGUAAACGGAAGUCUGUGUUUGCAGAGGCCCAAACUUGGAGUACCCUGCAUUAGCCCCAUAUCUGGGAACCCAAACCAAAGGACACAGGAGAUGGCAGGCUCAAGCAGCCACUGCUCCUCCCGGGCUGAGUCCUAGAAGGAACCAGAAGCUUAGAAGGAAAACUUCACGGAGCCCCCCGCCCACACCCAAACCUACCACCUGGAGCAGAACUGCUGUAGCCUAACCAUACACCCAUGAAGUGUGCAGUAUUACAUUCAUCAUCCAAACAGCCUCGUGAACAGCUUUUGAAGUCCUGUGCUUUCUGGAGAGCAGCCUAUGCGUGCCCAGGAUGCGGUACACUGGGAGCUGCAGGUAGUCCGGCUCUUUGAAAGGUUUC